rnacentral:rRNA from 1 species
AUUGAACGCUGGCGGCAGGCCUAACACAUUCAAGUCGAGCGAGCGUCGGACGGGUGAGUAAUGUAUGGGGACUGCCCGAUAGAGGGGGAUAACUACUGGAAACGGUGGCUAAUACCGCAUACUAACGUAUAACCCAUAUGGGAUUAUCUACUAGGGGGGGUAAAGGAUCACCUAGGCGACGAUCUCUAGCUGGUCUGAGAGGAUGAUCGGCCACACUGGGAAUGAGACACGACCCAGCAUCCUACGGAGGCAGCAGGAGGGAAUAUUAAACAAUGGGCGAAAGCCUGAUGGAGCCAUGCCGAGUGUAUGAAGAAGGUCUUAGGGUAGUAAAGUUCUGUCAGCGGGGAGGCGUUACCUGCAGAAGAAGCACCGGCUAACUCCGUGCCAGCAGCCGCGGUAAUAC